rnacentral:rRNA from 1 species
UGCCAGCAGCCGCGGUAAUACGUAGGGUGCGAGCGUUAAUCGGAAUUACUGGGCGUAAAGCGUGCGCAGGCGGACUGUUAAGCAAGAUGUGAAAUCCCCGGGCUUAACCUGGGAAUGGCAUUUUGAACUGGCAGUCUAGAGUGUGUCAGAGGGGGGUAGAAUUCCACGUGUAGCAGUGAAAUGCGUAGAGAUGUGGAGGAAUACCGAUGGCGAAGGCAGCCCCCUGGGAUAACACUGACGCUCAUGUACGAAAGCGUGGGUAGCAAACAGGAUUAGAUACCCUGGUAGUCCACGCCCUAAACGAUGUCAACUGGUUGUUGGGGGAGUGAAAUCCCUUAGUAACGAAGCUAACGCGUGAAGUUGACCGCCUGGGGAGUACGGUCGCAAGAUUAAAACUCAAAGAAAUUGACGG